CAGAAACAUACAAAACUUGUGGAUAGAGACAGCCGGAUUGAGAAUAUUUUUUAACAUUCCAGACACAACGGGAGAUUCGAGCCGGUGUUUCUUUCUGCAUCAAGGCGUACCAGCGUAUUGGAAUUUCUGGUUGUAAUGGCAGGACGCACCACAGCAUUUCUUUUCAUGUGUGGCGUGUUCGCCUACGGCAUCAUGGUUAUUGCAACCAGUCAAGAUGCUACAGCACGGGGAAGUUCGGUGCCGGCGAGUGCUGCCAAUGAGGAUGCAAGAAUCGGAACAGCUGCGAUCUAAAGCUUGGCGGGUGGAGGCCUCGGCUAAAACUCAUGUGAUUGGCUGCACCGAGAGAGCAGCGCGAGAGAACCGACUUUUGUCGCGUGCUCGCUUUAUUUUUUAGCGA